AGAAAUCUCUUUAAAAUGGAAUUCUUUGCAGGGGAUUGUUAGUUGGUCUAUCACUGUUCUCAAGUAGCUGAGGAUAUAUGUUAUUUGUGAAAAAAAUGAGUUGCUACCAUUGUUGAACUACUCUGCUACCAUGUCAAGAAAUUGGUCUAACUGUUGAAGAUAUUGUCCAUUUUAGGUGCCUGCUCUUCAUACAUCUCGCACUCUGUUGUCUCAUUGUAACGCAGAAAAACCGCUGAAAAGGUAUUAUUCCAGACACAUUCAUUUGAUCCCCCAACUAAUAAUUAGAUUUCUAUUUGUACCUUUACUUUCAAGAAAUUAACUUGACCAGCUCUGGCUGAAGCUGAAAAUUGAUGCCAGUUUUAUUAGUGAAACAUGCCAAAGCUCAUGGCUGGCGAUAUGCCACAGGUUCAGUUAUGUUGCGUGUGGGUGUGCAUGUCGCCACAUUCAGAGCUUCAAAGAAGCAGCCUCAGGAAGCUAUAGCUUGCAUGGAAGGAGUCUGGCGCCGUCCGUUUCAAGCCUACCAGUGAUCGGAUCGCCGGGAGACAUUAAUUGAGAUGUUGAGGAUCUGAAAACGUAUGGACCAGCAGAUCUUCAAUUGCAAGGGUAUUAGAAAAACAAGAAAACAAAACAACUUAGGCUGCUACCAGGCUAAGGGUGGUGCUGAUUAUUGACAUUAAAAGUAAUGAAGAUGCACAUAUUCUGGUUUAGUAGAGACUAGAGAGGUGUCAAGUGUGGUGUUUGCAAGAUCUGCAACCUCUCGUGUUGAGAGUUACAUCGCACGAUUUUAAUACUACCUCUUAACCUUGAUUAAUAUACACCUAUUUUAUUAGCCGCUUUUGGAAGUUGCAUACAUUUCAU
rnacentral:lncRNA from 1 species